rnacentral:rRNA from 1 species
GGUGAACGCUGGCGGCGUGCUUAAGACAUGCAAGUCGAACGGCAGUCUUCGGACUGUAGUGGCGCACGGGUGAGUAACGCGUAACUGACCUACCCCAAAGUCGCGGAUAACGAUUCGAAAGAAUCGCUAAUACGUGAUGUGCUGUCAGAUUGUGUUCUGCCAGUAAAGAUUGAUUGCUUUGGGAUGGGGUUGCGUUCCAUCAGCUAGUUGGUGGGGUAAAGGCCCACCAAGGCGACGACGGAUAGCCGGCCUGAGAGGGUGGCCGGCCACAGGGGCACUGAGACACGGGUCCCACUCCUACGGGAGGCAGCAGUUAGGAAUCUUCCACAAUGGACGAAAGUCUGACGACGCAACGCCGCGUGGAGGAUGAAGAUCUUCGGGUCGUAAACUCCUUUCGAUCGAGACGAACAGUCUCCGGGUGAACAAUCCGGAGGUUUGACGGUACCGAGAGAAGAAGCCCCGGCUAACUCCGUGCCAGCCGCCGCCGUAAGAC